CAGCAGCCGCGGUAAUACGUAGGGUGCAAGCGUUAAUCGGAAUUACUGGGCGUAAAGCGUGCGCAGGCGGUUCUAUAAGACAGAUGUGAGAUCCCCGGGCUCAACCUGGGAACUGCAUUUGUGACUGUAGAGCUGGAGUGCAGCAGAGGGGGAUGGAAUUCCGCGUGUAGCAGUGAAAUGCGUAGAUAUGCGGAGGAACACCGAUGGCGGAGGCAGUCCCCUGGGCCUGCACUGACGCUCAUGCACGAAAGCGUGGGGAGCAAACAGGAUUAGAUACCCCCGUAGUCCCUGUCUCUUAUAC
rnacentral:rRNA from 1 species